rnacentral:lncRNA from 1 species
AUGACGGGGAAGAAGUCUUCCAGGGAGAAGCGGCGCAAACGAAGCGGUCAGGAGGCGGCGGCGGCCCUCGCAGCGCCGGACCUGGUCCCCGCCGUAGGCAGCAGUGGCAGUGGAAGCACCAGCGGCUGCGGGAGCGCAAGCGGUUGCGGAAGCGUCACCUGCUGUGGGAACACUAGCGUGAGUGGAAGUGUCACCGGCGGUGGGAGCGGCGGCAGCUGCUGGGGUGGCAGCGGCGUGGAGCGCGGUGAGCGUCGGAAGCGGAGAAGCACUGACUCAUCUUCCAGCGUCUCCGGCUCCCUGCAGCAGGAGGCCAAAUAUCUUUUGCCACCUCUGGAAAAAGAGUUAUUCUUGGCAGAGCACAGUGACCUUGAAGAAGGUGGAUUAGACCUGACUGUGGCGUUAAAACCAGUUAGUUUCUAUAUAUCAGACAAAAAAGAAAUGCUUCGACAGUGUUUCUGUAUCAUAGGAGAGAAGAAGUUACAGAAGAUGCUUCCUGAUGUGUUAAAGAACUGUUCAAUAGAAGAAAUUAAAAGACUUUGCCAGGAACAGCUAGAGCUCCUGUCUGAAAAAAAAAUUUUGAAGAUUCUUGAGGGUGACAAUGGUAUGGACUCUGAAAUGGAAGAAGAAGCAGAUGAUGGCUCUAAGACGGUAUCUGAUUUAGUUAAUCAACAAGACAGCUGUGUAGAUUCUACUUCAUCCCUGAGAGAGAACAAGCAACCUGAAGGUUUGGAAUUAAAACAAGCUGCAGGAUCGGAGAAGGCAAUGGCACCCCACUCCAGUACUCUUGCCUGGAAUAUCCCAUGGACAGAGGAGCCUGGUGGGCUGCAGACCAUGGGGUUGCUAAGAGUCGGACACAACUGGGCGACCUCACUUUCACUCUUCACUUUCAUGCAUUGGAGAAGGAAAUGGCAACCCACUCCAGUGUUCUUGCCUGGAGAAUCCCAGGGACGGCGGAGCCUGGUGGCCUGCCGUCUGUGGGGUCGCACAGAGUUGGACACGACUGAAGCGACUUAG